rnacentral:lncRNA from 1 species
GAUAUUUUCAGCUUCUUGUUCUCUCUGCCUUUCUGUGAUGACACUGUACCCGAUCCAUGCAUCAAGAAGAGCUACAUCCAAGGAAACUCAUCCAUGCCUGGACUUAAUUUAUAUAAUGAAAUUCUGAACUUUCAAUAGAUGCUGUAAUAGGAUGAGAGUUUUGGAGAUCUUGGGAGGGAAUGAAUGUGUUUUGCAUGGGGAAGGGACAUGAAUCACUGAAGCCCAGAUGAUGGACAAUGGCUGACAGACUCUAAAAAUGGCCCCAUGAUCUCCACCUCCUGGUAUCCAUACCUCUACAAUCCCUUCCCCUUAUUCAAUAGAGUACAAAAGAAGGAUAGGAUUUCACUUCUGUUAUUACAUUACAUACAACUGUAGUACCUGUCUUGCUGGAAGACUUCCCCUUUCCUGGCUUUAAAGAAAAAAGUUACAAAUUGUGAACAGCUGUCCCCUGUAGAAGCCAUGUUACAAUGAACUGAGGAAAGCCACCGGCCAACAUCCAGCAAGAAUCUGAGGCCCUCAGUCCGCAUUCCUCAAGAAACUGAAUGCUGCUGACAAAAAUACAAGAGGAAGUGGAUCCAUCCCCAAUCAAGCCUCCAGAAAAGAACACGGUCUUGGCCAAAACCUUGAUGGUAACCUUGGAGAAGACUCAGCUAAGCUGUGCCUGGAUUUCUGACUCACUGAAACUGUGGGAUAAUAAAUGUGUGUUAUUUUCAGCCAAUAAAUUUGCAGUAAUGUUAUUAUGCAGCAAAAGUUAACUAAUUUAUUAUCUUUCAGUACCUUAUCCUUGAUUGAUGUUUGUUCUGUAUAAAAUUGCAUACUUAAAAUAUAUAAUUUUUACUCAAAAUUUUGAAAAAUAAUAGUAUCUUCUAACCCAUAAUGUUG